rnacentral:lncRNA from 1 species
UAUAUUCUAAUAUUUCUUCAUACUUUAUUUGCUUAAAUAUUUUUGUAUAUCGUGUUUUAUUAGUUGUUUUAAACAAUUUACUAAAUGAUUUAUUUCAAUUCAUUUCAUGUCUUUGUUUUACCUUAAAUUGAUUUGCAUAAUAAUUUUUUAGCCUAUUACUUACUUCAUGUUAUUUUAUUUAUGUACCUUUUCUUUGGAAUUAAGUUUGUUUUAUAUAUUAUUUCGAGUUCGAUAAUUAUUAUGUGUGUUUGGGGUUUGUACGCACAUAUUGUUUAGUACUCUGCCCAUGUUCAUUCAUUUGCUUUUCAGUUCUGAACAUUACAUCAUAGUUAAAAUUUUCGAUUUAUUUGCCAAAAGUUGAUUAUUUCAUUUCUUUUCAUUUCGAAUAAAUCGAAUUUAUAUCAUUGUUAAUAUUGCAUUAAACCUUCGCUUUGAUCCAAUUUCGUAAAAAAUGGAAAAUGAAGUUUGCAAUAUGUCGUCUUUGGAACAAUGAGAAAUCGUGCUCUAACUUACGGGGUUUCAAUUUCCUCAUCUCAUUGAAGCAAGACAUUCGACCCAAUCUUUUGAAAAUAAUAAAUUUCAAUAAAGAUUUUUAAAAAGGGGAAUCACUUUUCAAUCUUUUUUCGUCAUUCGACUUUAAGAUAUUAAAUAAAUAACCGAAUAUCCUUUUUAAACUUUAAUGCAUGAGACAAGUUUAGUUUCGAGGGUUAAAAUCUCGUAUCCUAACUUACUGGAUGUGACAUCUUAUUACUUCAGGAUAAGGAGGUCUGAACAUCAAAUUCGAUUUAUUCAGGUUUUUAAAGAGGAUCGCAUUUUAAAAUCUUUUCAAAUUUUUGACAUUAGGACAUUAAUUAAUCAAUUAGGUACCAGUUUUUGGGCGUUACGAGGGUGGUAAUCAUUCCUCGUGCGUAACCAACUCCCGAGCCCGUUUUCUCAAAUUUUGUAGACCAAAAUCAUUAUUUUAAUAAAUCAAAAUGUUUUAUUAAAAUGAUUAAUCUCAAGGUGACCCGAUCACACCUCGAAAAAAGAUCGGUGGCGACUCUAUUUUCAUUUUAAAAGUCGACCCCGUUUUUCAAAAUAAAAAUGGUUUGGACAAAUACCAUCUUUAUGUCAAAUAUUUAGGUGGCUAGGCUAGAGUAGAAAACUUAAGGUAGAUGAUUUUUAUGUUUUUUUUCUUAUUGUUAGAAUAGGGUGUUCUUUUGUUUUUUAAUUUAGAUUUUUAUUUUCAUGGUGCGAAUCCUUCUUAUCUUUUUGCUGAACUUUACACUGGAGAUUGCUUGAACCUAUAUGCUUUAUCCGAUUUAUAUAUGAGCAUUUAUUUCCUUAUUCUUAUUUUUAUAUAUUGUUUAUCAAGUGUUUGAUAAAAUGUGUGUUUGAGAAUUUGAAUGGGUCAUGUGCUAAUAUUAUUCUUAUUCCUCUGAUUAAUUAUUUGAUUGCUCGAUUAAGUUGUUGACUAUACCCGAUUAGUUUUUUUUUAUUCGAUUAUACCAAAUUGUCCAAUAUACUAAAAUUGACGCUUCUAGGAGAACACUUAGGCAAAUGAGACCAAAUAGGGAGUUUUCCGUGUAAUAUUUUGGUAUAGUUUUGCCGAGUGGAGAGCUUGAAAGGAGAACCGCUUGCCUUAGUGAAACCGAGAGGAGUGCUUGGGUGGUAACUUUUAAUUAGGUGGAGGCCGAAAGGGUGAUCCGAGGUAAGAGUGAUAAUUAUUUAUUUUAGCUCGAUUAAUUAAAAAAAUUUGCCAAGAUUGGGGGUGAAUUGGCUUUUAAAAAAAACUUGGUGGAAGCAAGGAAACAAUAUUAAACAAUGAACACAAAGAUUUAGAGUGGUUCGACUCCAAUUGCCUGCUCCAUUACCUUACCUUUCCACAACCAAGGAUUUCCCCAAAUUCACUAAUUUGUUCAACCUUUGAGAACAAGGUUUAACCUUACGACUCUCUUAAGAUUUCUAUUCCAAAUCUUAAGAUAAACCCUCUCAAAGAAUUACAAAGAAGCAAACUAAGAAAUAAUCCUAACAAGAUCAGAAUAUUUACAAAUUAAGCACAAAUCGGCAAGAAUACAUUUGAGCAAAGAAAGACAAUAAGAGCUCACAAGUGUGUAUAAGAGAAUUUUGGAAGUAUUGAGUACAAAGGUGGUUUGAUUGAUGAUUUUUGCUUGAAAAUAUUUUCUUGUUCUUGUAGGAACUUUAGAAACUGGUAUUUAUACCCCUAAUUGAUUUCCAACCGUUGAGGUUGUUGUGGUAAUUAAUAGAGCUGUUGGGGAUGUGAAAACCAGAGCAUCUAAUACACCUGCAACAGUGAGUAUCUAUACCAGAUAAAAAAGUAUCGAAAAUUUUUGUAAUAAAUGCUAAAUUCAGUGACCGUUGGUUUUAACUAUCGGUACCAAAAUAAUUUUUAUUGAUACUUUAUGAAAAGGUAUCGAUACCGUAUCAAUAUUUUGUAAGUUUUGUGAAAAAUAAAAUGCCAUUUUGGUAUCAAUUUUCCAAGGGGUAUCGAUAUUUUCAAAAUUAUCGAUACUUGGCCAAAAAAGUAUCAAUACUUUUUGGCAUGGAGCAAUUCUGACUUGUUUGAAAAGUAUUUUGACUUGAUAAAAUGAUAAAAGACUUUCUUACUUAGUUAAAAUCAUUUUAACUUGAUUUUAAAACUGUUAUAAAAUUUUUCUAAGAAUUCAAAAUUUUAUAUCUUAGAUUUCAAAUUGAAAAAUCAUUUUGUCAAUUUUGUUCAAUUUUAACUUUUAUUCAAAAAUAUUUCAAUUUGUUAUAUCAAAAUCUUUUAUCAAAAAAGCUUGGUUUAACAAUUUCAAUAAAAAUAAUUGCAAUAACUUAAUUAACAAUUA